UUUUAGCCCUGUUAGACGUAGUAACCCAAUCAUUGCUAGGAACGAAUAGCAGGAAAUAGC
rnacentral:sRNA from 1 species